UUGGUUGAUUCAUAAUAACUUAACGAAUCGCAUGGCCUUGUUGCGGCGAUGGUUCAUUCAAAUUUCUUGCCCUAUCAACUUUCGAUGGUAGGAUAGUGGCCUACCAUGGUUUCAACGGGUAACGGGGGAAUUAGGGUUCUAUUCCGGAGAGGGAGCCUGAGAAACGGCUACCACGUCCAAGGAAGGCAGCAGGCGCGCAAAUUACCCAAUCCCGACACGGGGAGGUAGUGACAAUAAAUACUGAUACAGGGCUCUUUUGGGUCUUGUAAUUGGAAUGAGUACAAUUUAAAUCCCUUAACGAGGAACAAUUGGAGGGCAAGUCUGGUGCCAGCAGCCGCGGUAAUUCCAGCUCCAAUAGCGUAUAUUAAAGUUGUUGCAGUUAAAAAGCUCGUAGUUGAACCUUGGGCCUGGUUGGUCGGUCCGCCUCACCGCGUGCACUGACUCGACCGGGUCUUUCCUUCUGGGGAGCCGCAUGCCCUUCACUGGGUGUGUCGGGGAACCAGGACUUUUACUUUGAAAAAAUUAGAGUGUUCAAAAGCAGGCCUAUGCUCGAAUACAUUAGCAUGGAAUAAUAGAAUAGGACGUGUGGUUCUAUUUUGUUGGUUCUAGGACCGCGUAAUGAUUAAUAGGGGAUAGUCGGGGGCAUCAGUAUUCCGUUGUCAGAGGUUGAAAUUCUUGGGAUUUACGGAGGGACUAACUAUGGAAAGCAUUUUGCCAAGGAUGUUUUC
rnacentral:rRNA from 1 species